rnacentral:tRNA from 1 species
GGAUUGUGGCUCAGUGGUAGAUGCUCACCUUGCACGGGUGGGACCUGGGUUCGAUCCUCAGCACCA